rnacentral:lncRNA from 1 species
AUCAUUAUUAAACAAUGAUCAUUGAUGGACUGCCCAUCAUGCAUUUUUAUUCUAAAAAAUCUAUGAGAGAUCUCAAAGUGAGCCAUGCGACUUUGCUCAGCGUAUAACUCUUGCAGGUGAGUCAGUAAGUCCCUAGCAGUUCGUAUGUCUUUAUGCUGGCACUGUAGAUCAUUUGAUAUGGAUGCAAGAAUAUAGCACUUCGUCCUAUUACCUUCGUCCAUCUAUUUCUUAAGUGUAGCUCAUUGAUCAGGGGAUGGAUGACCUAACAAUGAAAGAGUUAAUGUCCUGCAAGCUAAUCUUAUGGCA